UACGAAGGGUGCAAGCGUUAUUCGGAUUGAUUGGGCGUAAAGGGUGCGCAGACGGUAUGUUAAGUCAACUGUUAAAUUUCCCGGCUUAACCGGGAGCAAGCAGUAGAAACUGGCGUGCUAGAGGGUGGAAGAGGGAAGUGGAAUUCUCGGAGUAGCGGUAAAAUGCGUAGAUCUCGAGAGGAACACCGAUGGCGAAGGCAGCUUCCUGGUCCAUUUCUGACGUUCAUGCACGAAAGCGUGGGGAGCAAACAGG
rnacentral:rRNA from 1 species